UGGGGUGUUUGGAAAGGUGGUGGUUCACUGGUUCAGUUGGUAUAUCAGGAAUGACCGAACUGCUUUUCCUCUACUUUUGAAUUUUAGUUACCAAAAUUAAUCUUCUUCAUCCCGGCCCUCUUCCUCCUAUAUAUUGACGUCUUCGCUCGUGAUCGCUUAGAGCUCCUCCUCCAUCAAUAGGAACUCCCAGCCCGUCGACCACACGCCCUAGAGCCUCUCUCUGAGGGAGAAAGAAGAUUUAUAGUUUUAAGUUCUGUUCUGAUCGUGUCAGGUUUUGGCAACUGGGUUUUCUUAUUUGUUCCUAGAAAUUAAACGAAAGCUGCUGCAUUCGGUUGAGGACAAUUUAACUCCAUGUGCAUCAAGAAUCUACAGAGAUCAAUUUGAGUGCAGAUGCAAAUUAGGUGAAGUUAUACUUGUCGAUAACUUGUGGAUACAUCAACAGCUGACACCCUCAAGCUAGUGGAGUUUGCUUUCCACAGGGUAAGGGCGUACCAAUGCCAAAGUUCGGUGAAUGGGACGUCAGUGAUCCAGCAUCAGCAGAGGGAUUCACAGUAAUCUUCAACAAGGCAAGGACUGAGGAAAAGACUGGUGGCAGACCUGAGUCACCAGCAGAGGAUGACUGCACAUAUAAGCAUGGAGCAGUUCUCUGAAAGCCUACCACUGUAAACAAUGCAGGGGUGGUUGGAUGCAUACUAAACCUUGAAGCUUUUAUAGCAGUACUCAAUAAGAACGCAGAAGAAGUCGAUUGACUGGGCUGAAGUUUCACCACCAAACUACUAGUUAUCGGAAGAAUGUCUGAAAGCAAACUACGGCACGGAAGGAGUGACAGGACCACUUUUUCUGGUUCUCAAGCUAUCCAAUUACUAACACAAAAAACCACAGCAAAGCGCGGGCUGUAUCACUAGUAUCAUACAAAAGUGCAAACCACAAAUGGGGUUUUCGGAAAGGUGGCGGUUCAGUUGGUAUAUUAGUCAUACAUAACGUGUUUAUCAAGAAUGACUGAAACAGAAACAGUUUCCUCUACUUGUCAUAUUUAGUUACUAAAAUCAAUGUUCUUCUUCCCCUCUUCCUCCCAUAUAUUUAAAGCAAUUCUCCUUGAAGAGGAAUAAGUCGAGCAAUUCUUCCUCCUGCAAUACUCUCCAAAUGAACUCCACACCACCUGCAUUCGUGGAAAUCUUAACUGGGGUAGGUCUAUUUAUUAUAUUCAUCCUUGUAUGCAUGGUUCCUGUAUUUUUUGCGGUUGUCGAUAAAAAAUCACGGAGGAGGUGAUCAUGAUGAAGAUAAUAUGUGGUCGACAUGCCUGGAAAUGGCAUGGUAUUACUUAAUAGAGCUAAGCAUUUUAAUUAUCGUUGUUCGUUUAAGAUGAUUUUGGGUUAAAUAAUCUUGUACUGCUGAAUAUUGGGAUGAGGGCUCCAAGUACUUCCCAACCAUAUUCAGCAGUACAAGAUUAUUUAACCUACCCAAAAUCAUCUUAAAUGAACAACGGUAAUUAAAAUACUUGGCUCUAGUAAGUCAUGCCAUUUCUAGGCAUCUCGACCAGAUGCAUUAUCUUCAUCAAGAUCACCUUAAUGUGGUCGACAUGCCUGGAAAUGGCAUGGUAUUACUUAAUAGAGCUAAGCAUUUUAAUUAUCGUUGUUCGUUUAAGAUGAUUUUGGGUUAAAUAAUCUUGUACUGCUGAAUAUUGGGAUGAGGGCUCCAAGUACUCCCCAACCAUAUUCAGCAGUACAAGAUUAUUUAACCUACCCAAAAUCAUCUUAAAUGAACAACGAUAAUUAAAAUACUUGGCUCUAGUAAGUCAUGCCAUUUCCAGGCAUCUCGACCAUAUGCAUUAUCUUCAUCAUGAUCACCUCCGUGAUUUUUUAUCUACAACCGCAGAAACUGCAAGAACCAUAAAUACGAGGAUGAAGAUAAUAAAUACACCUACCCCUGUUAAGAUUUCCAUGAAUGUAGGUGGUGUGGAGCUCAUUUGGGGAGUAAUGCAGGAGGAAGAAUUGCUUGACUUAUUCCUCUUCAAAAGGAGAAUUGGUUUCAAUAUAUAGGAGGAAGAGGGAAAGAAGAACAUUGAU